rnacentral:lncRNA from 1 species
ACCAGUCGGUACAUGUCAUUGACAAUAGUGUCCGUCCUUCACAUACAGAUAAUGCAAACUACAUACGACAAAGUAACUACCCACUAAAUGCAAGGGGUUACACAUUGCGAAUAUAGAAGCCCCUUGAGUACUUUGCUUACACUCUCUGAAAGACAAUACAAGAUUUACCUAUUGGACUUGAUCAUUCUCUAACUUGAGCAUCGAAGGGGCAUUGUCGGUAUGCCCCCAACCUUAGUUCUAUAGGUCAAGCAAUUGAAUCCUCAACCAUCCUUGACACUAAAUGGACUCAUCUCUGAUCAAUCCGACACCACUCUUGUGAGAAAGGCGAUCCUCGACGAUAAUUGGACUUGUCUCCAAUCAAUCCAACACCAUUCUUGUGACAUUUGCUGAGGAUGUGGAGAACCAAAACAAUAUUAAUAGCUGAUGAAGCAGAAAAUUUUACUUGUCUUAGACCUAAACAAGAUAUUAUUCUCUAAGCCUACCUAAGUCGGAUCUUAUUUCCAACAGAAAGAACAUUUCGUGUCACAGACAAAACAUCAAACACCCACAUUAUCUUCUAAUUUAGCACUAAUACAGUUCCAAUGCCAAUUUGACAAAACAACAGAAAGAAUGCACAUUGUCCAUGGGGGCUUGAAAAAGUACCAUGACAAUCACAAAAUAGUUGAGGUCUUUGCUGCCUAAAGAAAUUGAUGCAAACAUUCUUUUACAUGAGAUAUAAGUCAUUGGACUUGUAUUUGCAGUUUAGCAUAGACAUGAGUGAUCAUAUAAGUGACAGUUGCCUGCAUCAAUUUACAUUAGAUCUCAGCCCGCAAUCAAAUUUGGUUAUUAAACAUCAAAGCAAGGGGUUGGAUGUUUUUCAUUAAUAUUACAUAUGCAUUAAAGGUAGAAUGACAACUUGACAUACAUCACAGCAAGCAUUCACAGAACAAGUAUUCCCAAAAUAAGACUCUACCUCUUACUGGUAAUAUGGACAAGGAGCAUUAUCAUUGAUUAGAUACAGCUUGCUUAUCCAAACGAAUAUAUGAUCCGUUCCUUUUCCAUUUCCUGAAGCAACCAGCGUACAACAUCAGAAUUUGAGACAAGUGUACGAAUGGAUUCAAUCAGGUUAUAAUUUCCUCAGUUUCUGUCACUACAAAGACACAUUUACGACAACAAAGAUCAAACAAGUCAGAGAAAUAGCAUCUGAAAUUCAUUUAUGAUGAUUAAAUCAAAUAGGCACCAUUAAUGCACUAAUGACAUAAUGUCAUAUGUUUUAACAAAAAUGAGAGCUAAGCAAAAAAAUGAAUACCAUUUUAUAGCCUUUCAGGCAACCAGUCCUGUGUACUUCAUGCAUUUUGGUAAUGAUGCAACUUGNNN